GGCCCUUUGGUUAAGACUCCAGGCUGAUAACCUGGCGGUCACAGGUUCCAGCCCGG
rnacentral:tRNA from 1 species